rnacentral:rRNA from 1 species
UACGUAGGGUGCAAGCGUUGUCCGGAAUUAUUGGGCGUAAAGAGCUCGUAGGCGGUCUGUCGCGUCGGCUGUGAAAACCCGGAGCUCAACUCCGGGCCUGCAGUCGAUACGGGCAAACUGGAGUACUGCAGGGGAGACUGGAAUUCCUGGUGUAGCGGUGAAAUGCGCAGAUAUCAGGAGGAACACCGGUGGCGAAGGCGGUUCUCUGGGCCUUACCUGACACUGAGGAGCGGAAAGCGUGGGGAGCGAACAGG